rnacentral:rRNA from 1 species
CUACGGGGUGCUGCAGUGGGGAAUAUUGCACAAUGGGGGAAACCCUGAUGCAGCAACGCCGCGUGGAGGAUGACACAUUUCGGUGCGUAAACUCCUUUUAUAGGUCAAGAUAAUGACGGUAGCCUAUGAAUAAGCGCCGGCUAACUCCGUGGCCAGCAGCCGCGGUAAUACGGAGGGCGCAAGCGUUACUCGGAAUCACUGGGCGUAAAGAGAGUGUAGGCGGCCAGAUAAGUUUGAAGUGAAAUCCUAUGGCUUAACCAUAGAACUGCUUUGAAAACUGUCUGGCUAGAAUGAGGGAGAAGUAGAUGGAAUUUCUGGUGUAGGGGUAAAAUCCGUAGAGAUCAGAAGGAAUACCGAUUGCGAAGGCGAUCUACUGGAACUUUAUUGACGCUGAGACUCGAAAGCGUGGGGAGCAAACAGGAUUAGAUACCCUUGUAGUC